rnacentral:rRNA from 1 species
AACGAACGCUGGCGGCGUGCCUAACACAUGCAAGUCGAGCGCGAAAAGGGCAACCUGAGUAGAGCGGCGCACGGGUGCGUAACACGUGGGUAAUCUGCCUUAGAGUCGAGGAUAACCUUCCGAAAGGUUGGCUAAUACUCGGUAAGCUUACGGUGUCUUCGGACGCUGUGGGAAAAGUAGGCCUCUGUUUACAAGCUUACGCUCUGAGAUGAGCCCGCGGCCCAUCAGCUAGUUGGCGGUGUAACGGACCACCAAGGCAACGACGGGUAGCUGGUCUGAGAGGACGAUCAGCCACACUGGAACUGAGACACGGUCCAGAGUCCUACGGGAGGCAGCAGUGGGGAAUUUUCGACAAGGGGCGAAAGCCUGAUGGGGCAACGCCGCGUGUGUGAGGAAGGUUUUCGGAUCGUAAAGCACUUUCGACUGGGACGAAAAACCUUUGGCUAACAUCCAGGGGCCUGACGGUACCAGGAGAAGAAGCACCGGCUAACUCUGUGCCAGCCGCCGCAGUAAUAC